GUCAGUUGAACCGGGUUCCGGUCAUGUCAGUUGAACCGGUUCCGGUCAUGUCAGUGGAACCGGUUCCGGUCAUGUCAGUGU
rnacentral:lncRNA from 1 species